rnacentral:lncRNA from 1 species
UCAAUCGAAUAGUUGUUCAGAAUAGCCCAUCAGGAUCCAUGGCGGAGAGCCAUUCUGCCAUUUUUUUUAUUCGCUGCUCGGGCUGCAGGAAGAGUUCUCACAGCUUAAGAAAUUGCUGAAAGAGUCUAACAAAACAUUACACUCUUGUAAAUUGACCCUGUCCUUUUUUUGUUGCAGUGUUGUUAGGAUGGUUUGGAAAUCACAUCAUUUCUUCAUUAAUAUAGCUGUGUUCUGCAGGAAACGGAAUUGUUUCUCACUUUUUUUUUUUUUCCUUUGGUU